rnacentral:rRNA from 1 species
AGCUCCAAUAGCGUAUAUUAAAGUUGUUGCAGUUAAAAAGGUCGUAGUUGAAUUUCUGGUGGGAGGGAUCAGUCCAACACACUGUGUUGGAACUGGAUCCUCUUCGGCUAUCCUUGGGUGGAUCUUGUCUGGCAUUAAGUUGUCAGUCAGGGGAUGCCCAUCGUUUACUGUGAACAAAUUAGAGUGUUCAAAGCAGGCUUAUGCCAUUGAAUAUAUUAGCAUGGAAUAAUAAGAUAGGGCCCUGGUGCUAUUUUGUUAUUUUUCGUACCGAUGUAACGAGUAAUAGGAACAGUUGGGGGUAAUUGUAUUCAGUCUUCAGUGAUGAAAUAUUUGGACCUACGGAAGACAAACUACUAUAAGAGCAUUUACCAAGGAUGUUUUUA